rnacentral:miRNA from 1 species
UGAGGCAGGAGAAUUGCUUGAACCCAGGAGGUGGAGGCUGCAGUGAGCCAAGGUCGUGCCACUGCACUCCAGCCUGGUGACAGAGCGAGACUCCAUCUCA